UUUCACUUCCUCUUAUCUCUAACUUUGUCUCAUUUUCAUCACCGUCAUGUCGUUCUCGCGUGUCGUGUAGGCUUGGCAGUGGUCAGAUCAUCUGUGAAGGGGCAUUUUAUUCACGACUGUUGGCUCACGUUCGGCUGGAUCUUCAGGCCCUCGGGUUCACAGUGGACACUGUAACGCUGACCGAUGUGAAGCACGCAGUCUGAAGACGUCUCAAUGAACAGCAGAACCUGGCCUGCUUCUGGGAUUUUAAAGGACUUUUUAACAAAAUUCCAGAUAAGGCCAAAGGCAGAGAGGUGGGAGACGUUCACAAUCACAUGCGUGUCGGUGAUCCUCAUCGGUUUCAAGAUGCUUAUCCCAUCAUCAAAGACGUGCGCGACAGACAGCAGGCCAUCAACACACAACGCUGUGAAGGCAAAGAGCUGCUGCACUAUUUCCUGCUCGGGGAUUCAUCCUGCACCAUUUACUUUUCAACACUUCAGUGUGGCAGGUGGAGCUGACGGACUGCGUCCUCAGAGCACGUGAUGUUAAACAGCGGCCCUGCAGCUGUUUUUCCAGCUUGUUGAAGGAGGCUCUCAUCCCAUUGGACAUUCCAGUACAGCAGCUCCGCCUUCUGAGCCAUAACAAACACCAGUCUGGUCAGAGUACACUGGAACACACCUGGACCAGGACACCUGAACCUGUAGAAGAUGAAACGGUUAAACUAGAAUCUAAAAGAAAGAAACCAACGAGAACAUCUGAAGCUUCUGUUUGAGUCCAAACUGUCACAUCCACCAAAGUGAGGGGAUGCUACAUCUGUAACUCUGCUGCUUUGGCUCUAAAGCCAAAGCAGGUUAUUAAUUCUACUUGUGGUUUGGGAUAUCUCAGGGUUUGAGUCACAUGUCACAUAAUUAGAACACGGUUGUGGUUAGUCAUCCCGGAGGCUUCAGCCUCUUUCUGGACUGAUAGUAACCUGCCAUCGCUGUAUUUGAGUUUUAUAUUAUCAGAACACCUCAAAUCACACAGAACCCAGAUGAACCCUGUCAUCUCUAACACAGCCAGGCAUCUGUGGAGGCAGCUGUUACUGGAGCUGGAGGGCCAAGUGAAGGUCCUGCCUGAAGUCUGACAUCAUCUCUGUCUGUCACUGAGAAACUGACGCUCCAGAUGAUCUUUCAGUGGAAAUGAUGUCUGAGUGAGAUGGACAAAGGAAAACACAGAGGGAGAGAAAAGCAAAGUACACAACGUCUCAUAUAUUAGACAUCGAUGGAGAGGAGGAGGUAAUUUACUAUGUCACACCUCCAGGUGUCUAAUACAAAUCAGGUCACAUCAGAGCAUGUGUGACAUCAUUCUAAUGUGGAGGUGAAAGCAGUGACAGCUGUGGUUUUAUUAUCACCUGUGGGAGAUUUGUGUGGAUUCAGGUUGUACUUCAGGUGUGAAGCUUGAUGGAGGCUGGAAAUCAGAACAACACCAGCUGUUUAAAGCAGCAACAAACCAGUAAGUGAAGAAACUACACAACGUACACAUCAGCAGUUAUAUGUACGUACUUUCAAAACUGGCAGUAAAAUAGUGGGACUAAAAACAAUGAAAACAUGGAGCCAUGCAGGAUAAAGCUUAAAGCAUCCUGAUAACGUACAAUUAAUCAGUGUUGCAGUGCAGGUAAAUUCAACACGUGGAGUUAGUUUCUGUCCUGAAGCCUCCUUCUUUGUUCCAUCAGACAAAGUUUAGACUACUACCAUGAAAAAGUGCCGAGAUUAACAGUCAUUACAUGUGUAAAUGAUAAGGAUCCGCUUGCUUUUGUCUCACCUCAAUUGGCUCUAUGUCAUCCUCAGAU